UACAGAGGUCCCAAGCGUUGUUCGGAUUCACUGGGCGUAAAGGGUGCGUAGGCGGUUGGGUAAGUCUGAUGUGAAAUCUCACAGCUUAACUGUGAAACUGCAUUGGAUACUAUCCGGCUAGAGGAAUGGAGGGGAGACUGGAAUACUUGGUGUAGCAGUGAAAUGCGUAGAUAUCAGGAGGAAUACCGGUGGUGUAGACGGCUCUCUGGACCGCAACUGACGCUGAGACACGAAAGCGUGGGUAGCAAACAGG
rnacentral:rRNA from 1 species